GGGGUGUUUAAGGAAAUUGCCUAUAAAAUGGCGAUUGAAUGGGUAUCCACUCUUACCCACCGCACUCUUGACUAGUGGAGGGUCGUUAGCCGAACGGGUAGGAUAGGACGAAACCUUCCAUUAUAAGUAUAAUGAAUUAUAAAAGUAACUAAAUGUUUUCAUAAAAUUCCCAAUCUUAGUUACUUAGGCAAAAGUGAAUUGAUGCAAUUCCAUGAAAUUACACUUUGUGCCCUUGCGAAGACGUUAGUGGAGCGUGUGUGGUUUACCGGCACACUAAAUGGUUCUAAGAAAAGGUAGCAAAGGGUGACUCAAUGUUUGUCAUAGUUCGGUGGAGCGUGUGUGGUUUACCGGCACAUCGAAUAGGUGACUGUAACAUGUGAGGGCACCAUGUAAGUUUGCAUGGUUAUUCACACCCGCUUUGUGAUCCUCGGCAUCCCAGUCACAAACUAGAGGGGCAUAUCGAGAUUUAAACAUGCCAUUGAAAUGUUCAAUGAAUCUCAAAGGAUCUAGGAGUUUUCAUAGAUUUAAAACUUAAAUUUCUUUUUCGUUUUUCAUGGUGGAAAUUAGUGAAUCGUCAUUCACUUACCUUCAAAUAUUCUGCAACUAGAUUACAACAUCCCUUUUCUAGGUUGUAGCGUAUUGUGUUGGGUCCUAGCCUUAAUAUCUCAUUUGGGUGAUUUAUUAAGGACUCAAUCUAUCAACUAACCUGAAUUUAUUUUUUCUCCUGUUUUGUAGAUGUCAAAGUACGACAACUAUGGUCUUCCCAAAUCCCGUGGAACAAGCAUUCCACAUGAAGAUGAUAUUCCACGAUUCGAUCGAGGAACAAGAAAUCAUGCUUCACUUCCUCCACCUCCUCCAAUUAUUCUCCCUAACCCACAAGAUCGAAGAAUUAAAAGGUUCAAUGUCACUAAAGCCCUAUUGGAAAUGAAACAUGAAGAUGGUAAACCCAUGUGUGCCCACGUUCUAGGAAUGAAAUCACACAUCGAUAGGUUGAUAAUGUUGGGUGCGUCAUUCCCUGAUAAGUUGGCUGUGAACUGGGUUCUACAAUCACUUCCUGAAUCAUAUAAUGAGUUCAAAGGUAAGUAUUAUAUGAUGGAUCAUGACGAGAACCUCAUUGACCUAACUUACCUGCUCAUUGCUGCUGAAUCAGAAAUGAUUUGGCAAAGAAAUGGAGCAUAUUUGUUAGGAAAGUCAACCAACCAUGCUUCCGAGGACGUUCUAGGAGAAUCGACNUCAUGUAUGUAGUAUGUUCUGUUUUGAAAACCCUGGCUACCACCAAUAUGUAUGUAGUAUGUUCUAUUUUGAAAACCCUGGCCACCAUCAGUAUGUAUGUAGGGGGUGUUUGGGGUAUCUUUUCAGAGGGCAAAAGAUCUUUUGGCAAAAGUUCCAAAAAGCUAGGUUUCCCUGACUUUUCCAAAAAGUCAGUUUUCCUUCUUUAAAAAAUCUAAAAGUAGCUUUUAAGGAGCUUUCCCCAAACAUCUUUUGUUUGAUAUCUUUUCCCAAAAGUUCUUUUACCCUCUCAAAAGAUAUCCCAAACACCCCGUAGUAUGAUAUGUUUUGUCUUGGAAAAUCCCUUAUUUUCCCUGGUAUACGAGUGUUUUUUACUUUAAUGAUUCCAUGAAUUAUGAGGUAUAAGUAUCAUACUUACGUUAUUAAACAACUGUUUAUAAGAGGUAUAUUAUUACGUAAAAGAGAGUCGUACGAUUGGCGAGUUUUCUGACCAUGCAUUAACUUGAUACGACAGGAACGAACGUCGGUAUCCUUUAUGACAUUUGUCACCCGUAGACCUGACGGUCCGACUGUAGCUAGCAGCCAGGUGCGGGGCAGUCAGUCCCGUAUAGAUCUAUACACAAAAGCCACACUUUCCCUCCAGGAAAUUUUGGUUCGUAAGGGUAGUCCUCCACUUAGCUGAUGUUUGAAAGUGUCCGAGGACAAAGUCCUCCACUUUACUAUGUUGUAUGUUGCCAAGGACGAAGUCCUUCCCUUUGUUAUUAAAGUGUAUGAGUACGUGUCUCCAGUUAAGUUUACGAAAUUAUGAGUAAUAAUAUAAGUGUUCUGUCUAUUCGUAUGAAAAUCCGAUGUAUAUUUAGUAGAAUAAAAAUAAUUAUACUAAAACAAUUAUUUACUGUUGUAUUCUUGUGGUAACGUAGGAUAUAAACUAAAUUUGUCAUAGUUUUUGUAUGCAACCAUGUAUGUGGUUUGUAACCGUAAAACUGGAAAUGAAAUCCCCAAACUAUACCUAUUAUAGUUUGGCUGUAAUGUUAUGUUCAUGAAAUGUUCAGAAACUAUGCAAUUGAAUGUAGAAAACAUCCCUCUUGCUCAGCAUGGUACAAAAGGGAUUAAGCAUUUGAAUACUUUAUGAAAUCCAUUGGUUUGAGUAAUUGCAUAAGUUUGACUUGUUGAAAACUUUUGUGUUUAGCUUGUAUUUCCCCCUGAAAAAUGUUUAAAAUCGUAAAAGCAUAGGGGUGUGAACUCACUGUUUAACAUAGGAUUCGGGUGUACGAUCGGUUACGAGUGUUGACUGUCAAUUGAUGUUUUGUAUGCAAGGGGAUCCUAUUAACAUAUAAUAACACAUAUAUGUAUUAUAUUAAGGUAUUCCAUUACAAAACAUGACGGGAAACCACCCUAAAGACAUGGAAAUGCUUGAACUAAGUGUCGGAACCAUAAAUGAUUGGACGAGGGAGGUGUAUGGCCACAAAAACAGGGGUUUUGGUGUGUGUGUGCGGUUGCACACAAGACUGUGCGGCCAUACAGUGGGUGUGUGUGGCCGUACACAGGAGUGUGCGGUCGUACACUCCUCAUUUAUGCUCCAAAAGUCAAUGUUUAGGUGUUUUAAGGAUCAAACCAAGUCUAACUAGAUGACAGGGGGCCAAACUCUCACUUUGGACGGUCUUAAAGGUGUGUACGACCACCUUAUGAUGGUGUGCGGCCGUACACCUUCAAGGAAUGAAUAACACGAUGAAUUUAGGCUUAGAUCAAGAUAUCUUACAUGAAUAUCAAGUUAGAUGAUCGAAUACUCAUGUUUUUGAAGCCUUUGGAGUGUUCUUAGAUGAAGGUUCUAAAGAGAGAAAGUAGAGUGUAGCAAAAGGGGAAAAGAGUGAAUGAAGGGGUCACCCUCUAUAUAUAGGGGUGAGUGUGCGGCUGAAGGGUGGGUGUGCGGCCGCAUACCCGUGUAUACGGCCGUACACACCUCCCAAGAGGGUGUAUGGCCGAAUUUUGUCCCUAUACAACUUGUUGACUCAUUCCUAAUCUCAUUCCCGGCUGUACCCAAACUUAGAACACUUAAACGAACCUUUAAACGAUGUUAAAAGGUAAUGGAAUCGAUUUUAAUAUUCAUAGGAUUGAUCAACCUUUACAGAAUAAAAGUUUCGGGUUGUCUCACAUUACUAGUUGAGUAAAACUCAUAAGCUAACUACAACUCGAAGAUCAUACAUAUAAAAAAACUAAGAUACAUAGUAAACGUACAACAACAAUAAUUAACUUAAAGGAAUUGCAAUGUGUACUUCUAUUUCUCCAUUGUUAUAUAAUCAUCCCUAAUUCUUACUUUUUCUUCAAGACGACCUUUUUCUAACCAAGAUCUAUCAUCUUUUCAUCAGUGUCAGCAAGCCAUUUUUUUCAUUUUGAUAGUCUUCUUAGUCUUUUUUUAUUGAUUCUUCAUGCUCUUUGAUUUUCUUUUUAUUAACUGGUAUCCGUUCUUUAGCCUCUUUGCACUCUGUCACAAUGACGUGACGACAUUUAGUGAGAGCCCAUGAUGAUUCUUUACCUUUUUUUAUUCUUCAUCCAAUUCUAAUUGUUUCAAAGUUUCAUCGGACAUAUAUGGCCCGUUCGAAGAGGGUGUAACAAAAGGGUUGAUCGGACCACUAUAGGAACAUUUAACUUCCUCGUACGAGCAAAUUUGGAAAUUUAAAGAUGAACUUAUAUUACAAUUCAGAAAAGAUCUAACUCUAUAGUAGGAAUGCAAUGAUUAUCUAUGUAAAUUUAUAAACCCUUCAACUCCACAGAGCAGUUUGUCAUUUCGCUAAGCUGUUUGUCAGUUCAAAGAGUUGUUUGUCAGUUCCACAGUCGUUUAUCUUAUUUAAUUAAUCAUUUAUUCUUCAAAAAAAAACUCACACCUAUAUUCUAAAAUGGCAUGUAAUGUACCAACUAUUUCUAAUGCAGCGCCAUCGUCUGAUGCUCCACGUCCAUGGACGACAAUAAAGUAGUUGAUGGUCCUAACAUGAUGUUAGACGAAUGUUUAUGAGGGUGUAACACCAAUAGCUCCCUCACAUUUCCUUGUAGGUGAUGAAUGGAUCCGCAUAACAUGUUUUUUCAACCAUGAGAUAGGAGAACGACAACACCAACUUAAAGAAGAUAUUGUUAGUAAGUGGAUGGAAUUAAAGGAAAAAAUCACAAAAAUAGGAAAUAUUAUUACGCAGAUGAUGAAGAACUUUUACAAUUUGUUAAAGAUCAUUACAUGAAUGAGCGUGAUAGAAGUGAGUUCAAAUAUGAGGAUGUUUUGGAUGUGGUUAGAAAUAACCAGAAUUUCAUGUAGACGGUUGUUUAAUGUGUAAUAUUUUUUUUAAUGUUUGCUACUGCUUUAUCUUAUUAUUUGUAAUGUUUUAUUUUUUCAUAUAUUUGUAAUGUUUGUGUUUUCCGUUUCCAUGUAUUUGUAAUGUUUGUGUUUUUUGUUUCCAUGUAUUUGUAAUGUUUUUAGUUUUUGUUCCAUGGAAUAAAAUAGAAAACAACUCAAGUUAUUUCGUAAAUGACGUAAUAAAAACCAAAUACAAAGCAGUACAUAUAAAUAAGUUGAUAAUAACCAAAUACAUCUAAAUAACCUAAUAAAACCCAAGUACAUACAAAUAACCUACUACAAACCUAAUAUGAAUUAAAAAUGUGGGAUAUCUUUUAUAAGAUUCUAAGGGGAUUCAUACUCGAAAUCCGACCCGUCGCUAAUGGAUUUGUAUUCCUCUUUCGCCACCUCCAAGAUCACUUCCUCAUUUUCAUUCAGCCAUGUCUCAUCAAUUUUGUUAUAAAUAUCAUUGAAUAACAAGAUUUUUGUUUUUACUUCAUACCAUUUUGAUAUGAUAUCAAUGGUGUUACAAUAGUUUUAUGCUGUGGUUUGAGGGUCCGCGUUGAAGGUAUAUAUUAAAUGGGUGGAUCUUUCAUAGUGAAGUUCUCGUAGACAUUAAUAUUUGCAUGACUUAGACGUAGGUUCUCCUCAGCGCUCCAUGCUCUGGAACCCAUUAUGACUGAAAAUAUGUGUUGGGUUUUAAAUGUAUUGUGUCAAAUAUAUGUGCUAGUAUAGUCUCUUUUACCAGUUUGGGCCUGUCCAUUCACGAUUUUUCUUUGCUAGGGUUAGACUAUUUAUAGUGUAUGCAUGUAUCAAUUAGGGUUAACGUUUUGGUCGCCCUACCUACCUCUCAUAGAGAUGUUCUUUCUUGAACUCUUCUAGAGCUAUUAUAAUCAAAGCAUUCGACACCUUUUUGAUCUUUAUUCUUGUCAUUCAAUUCUUGUUAUUUAUUAUAGAAUCUAUCGAUCUAUUUAUUGUUUUCACAAUUGGUAUCAGAGCAGGAGAUAGUGUAACUCAUAUGCUACUCUUCUGUUGAGUUCUAUUAGGGUUUGGUGUUAUACAUGGAUUUGUAAUUAUCUUCCCGGUCAUUUCUAUUGAUUGUAGAGUUCAGAUCUAGAUCUUUAGUUUUUACCCUAAACUCGAGUAUCAUUUUACACAUUUGAUUCUAUAUCCGUUUCCGUGAAUUCUAGACAUAAUACAGAACGAAGAUCUUAUACUCUUUGGUUCAAUCUCUCUAGCAAUAUUGGAUCCACAAUAAGGAUUCCAAUCCAAUUCCCGAAAUAUUAUGAAGUAUGGUUGUUGCACUUUGAAAUUAUGUUCUCAGUAUUGAAGAACAUGGUUCCACAAUUUUGCAAGCGAUGACGCAGGAGAUGUUCACGCACAUGGCGACCAAGAGAGUAAUUGCAACUCAGGCUGAUUACAAUGUGCUUCUUGUUGAACAUACUAAUGUUCCUUAGGAUGAGAAAGAUAAUCUAAUGUGAAACAUAAAGGGGAUGAGAAUUAUAAGGUUUGCUCUUCCUCCAGACACUUUUCGUCUUGUGAGUGCUUGUAAAUCUGUGAAAGAAAUAUAGGACAGAUUGAAGGAGCUUUAUUCAAGUGACAUUGAAUUGGAACAUUUUGUGCAAACUCUUCUUGUAGUGGUGUUAAUCAUGAUGUAUUAUGUGGAAUUGAUGUGAUCUAGUCAAUCAUUAUAGGAAUCAUGAACACAAGGAGUAAAUAAAUUUGGUUUAAGCUCUCAUUAGAUCUAUAAAGAAAAUACAAAGUGGGUCUUGUACAAUUAUCUCUCUAGUUUAACUCUCCAAAUGAACAUUACAUAAACGAGUGUCACUCACUUCCUAUUUAUAGGAAAGACAACUCGUUACACAAUACAAGAGGGUAAGCACAAAUUACAUCGAAGUGUAACUUUGCACCCUAACAUUCUCCCCCAUAAAGUUAGAAUUAGAUAUUUCGGCUUUAAUAUCAAACGAGCUCACGCGAUCAAGACCAACUCCACCAUGAAUUAAUACCAGUCUUCAAAUCCGCAAAUGAAUACCGGAGAAGCUUCGAAUACACACUCUUCAUUCUCCAAAUUUUUAUAAUAAAAAAGUCAUUAUAAAACCAAUUAAGGCUGAGAAGCACCCGAGGAAUAAUCUUCACAAAACUCCCCUUUGAUGUGUGCCAAAAAUGAAACCACAAAAAACUUGCACGGAAAAAUAAUCACGAAAAAGUCAUGAAAUUUUUCCAAAUUUAUGGAAAUUUUUUACUUUUGGGUGAGAGUUGCAAGAAUUUUGAAAAUCCGGGGUAAAAACUGCCACUUUCAGAAUUCUACAAGGUCUAAACUUGAAACUUCUUCACAUUCCUACAAAAUCUCGAAUUUAUACCCUAAUGUCAAAUAUGGGUAUAAACUCCCAAUCUCAACAAAAGUGUAAGCACUCGAAUUUGAAAUAUUUUACUUGUUGGAUUAGUGUCUAAGUCCAUAACUAUUUUGGUAUGUACUUGACCCGAUGGUGCAUGGUCCUUUUGGGUUGCCUUCACCAAAGCAACCUGAUAGGAUGAAUAAUGGAGAGAAAGGAUUAAAUAUGAUUUAUUAAUAUAUUAUAAGAACAAUAUAUUAAAGGAGAUAUCAUAUUGUAUAAUUAAUAUUAGUCAAGAAUUAAUAAGAAUUAAGUUUGUGGCUAAAAGAGAUUAAUUAAACUUAAGGGACUUGAACUGUCAAUUGUAUGAUAGUUGAAUAUUGAGCUAAUGGACUCCAUAAUUAAAGGGGUGGACGAAUUCUAUGGGGAAACCCAUUAGAAAUCGUCCAAGGCCUUUAAGGAAGGAGCCUAUGGGUUGCUUAAGGCUUAAGCAUCCAAAUUAGGGUUUCCUUGUUAGUUAACCCUAAUAGCCUCACUAUUUAAAGAACCCUUAUGCCCCAAAAACGUGGUGAACUUGUUGAUUAGGGUUUCCACACGUUUUGGGCAGCCUCCUUCUCUUCUCUUCUUCAUCCUCUUGCUCUUGGUGUUUGUGAACCAUUAGAGGAGUGACAUUUGUGACUCUAAGCUUUCUAAAGUCAUUACAAGGUGGAAUUGUGAUUGUUAUUGCUACAUAACAAUCAAGGUAAUAUCUUAAACCCAUUCUUAUGUUAAUAUGAUUACUUGUAUGCUAGAACUAGGGUUUAUAGUCUUGGAUGAAUUGCAUGUUCAAUAGAGAAACCUAGAUCCAAGCAUUAGGGUUUGUAUGAGCUCAUAGGAUGUUCUUAUGGCUAAAACCCAUCAGUGGUAUCAGAGCCUUCAUUGGUUUCUAUUGUAUUGAUGCCUUGUAUGUUUGUUCAAGUUGCAAAAUUCGAUUUUGGUGAGUCUGCCUGAUGAACUCGACGAGUCCCAUUGUGGACUUGGCGAGUAGGCCCCUACUCGGCGAGUCCAUAGGUGUACUCGGCGAGUUCGAGCGUCAGAAAGAGGGGAUUUUGGGAUUUCUUGUUGUUUUUCUCAUGGAUACUUGCCUUAUCUGUUUUAGAUUAUUAAAAUCCGAUUUUAUACAUAUUUAUGAGUAUAUCCUUGAUUAAACAAAAGAUAAUUACCAAUUGAUUAGAUAAUAACUUCCUUAUAUGAUAAAGUUUUAUUAUUUGUAUUAAUUGGGUAACUUACUUUGCAAGAAAUUGAAAUUAGGUCAAAUAUAGAUAAUGAUAAAAUAAAUUGUUUAAUUUAUAUUAUUUGUUAUUUGAUCCUUGUGUUAUGAAAAGUUUCAAUUUUUCCCCUUUAGGUUUUAUAGUUUAAAUUUGAACUCAAAAUUUUAGUUUUGAAAUUUAAAUAGUUGAAACCCUAAUGUUUUGAAAAGGUUUCAAAACUUGCCCUCAAGUUUUGGAAUUUAAAUUUUGAUUAAAAGUUUAAUUUUGAUGUAUAUUUAAAUUCUAAACCCUAAUGUUUUGAAAUGUUUCAAAACUUGCCCUCAAGUUUUGGAAUUUAAAAGUUGAUUAAAAGUUUAAUUUAGGAAUGUUAAAUUCUAAAACCCUAGUAUUGUUUUGAAAAGUUCAAAUCACACCCUUAUGGUUUUAUUAAUUAAUUAAGGUGUAUAAUUAAAAGAGGUUUAAUAAAUCCAUAAAAGUUUUGGUUUACAAUUUAAUUGAAUUAAAAGUAUAAUUGUUAAAUUUGACCACCUAGUAUUUUAAAAGUGUAAAAUACACCCUAUACUAUAUAUAACAUUAAAAGUCUAACAUUAUAUAUAUGUAUGAGUAAAAGUCAGUCUUACCGUUAGUAGGCCUCAUUCACGAAGCUGGUCUAUAAGGGGUGUUUAAGGAAAUUGCCUAUAAAAUGGCGAUUGAAUGGGUAUCCACUCUUACCCACCGCACUCUUGACUAGUGGAGGGUCGUUAGCCGAACGGGUAGGAUAGGACGAAACCUUCCAUUAUAAGUAUAAUGAAUUAUUAAAGUAACUAAAUGUUUUCAUAAAAUUCCCAAUCUUAGUUACUUAGGCAAAAGUGAAUUGAUGCAAUUCCAUGAAAUUACACUUUGUGCCCUUGCGAAGACGUUAGUGGAGCGUGUGUGGUUUACCGGCACACUAAAUGGUUCUAAGCAAAGGUAGCAAAGGGUGACUCAAUGUUUGUCAUAGUUCGGUGGAGCGUGUGUGGUUUACCGGCACAUCGAAUAGGUGACUGUAACAUGUGAGGGCACCAUGUAAGUUUGCAUGGUUAUUCACACCCGCUUUGUGAUCCUCGGCAUCCCAGUCACAAACUAGAGGGGCAUAUCGAGAUUUAAACAUGCCAUUGAAAUGUUCAAUGAAUCUCAAAGGAUCUAGGAGUUUUCAUAGAUUUAAAACUUAAAUUUCUUUUUCGUUUUUCAUGGUGGAAAUUAGUGAAUCGUCAUUCACUUACCUUCAAAUAUUCUGCAACUAGAUUACGACAUCCCUUUUCUAGGUUGUAGCGUAUUGUGUUGGGUCCUAGCCUUAAUAUCUCAUUUGGGUGAUUUAUUAAGGACUCAAUCUAUCAACUAACUUGAAUUUAUUUUUUCUCCCGUUUUGUAGAUGUCAAAGUACGACAACUAUGGUCUUCCCAAAUCCCGUGGAACAAGCAUUCCACAUGAAGAUGAUAUUCCACGAUUCGA
rnacentral:lncRNA from 1 species